GGGGGGGGGUGCAGGGUGGGGAGUGGGAGAUAUGUAGGUAGGUUUGUGAUUACAUCUUUGUGGGAAUCAUCCCAGAGAAGUUCUAUGGGAUGGGCAGGAAUCCUGAGUUCUGUCUUGGCUAAUGGAUGCCUGAUGGCAGGCUGGCGAUGACAAGAGGGAACAUUGCUGCCAGACACCACAGAAAAAUCGCAGCGUGCACAGGGCUGCACAUAUUCAGAACUGCUGAGAGAAAAUGAAAUACACCAUCUCGUCUAACCUUCUGUUAUAUUUUGUAACCACCAAUUUGACAUUUUAAUUAUGAAGAUAAGAACCCAAGCAAGUAAAUCAUAGAAUUCUCCAAGACAUGAAAGAUGGCAGGUGGGAGUAAUCUCCAGUCAGCCAGAGAGAAGUUGCCUGAGUGAAGUGGGUUGGUAUAGGACAGGAAAGAGCUAAGGGGACCUGGUGCAUUGUAGAGGUUUGCCCUGCUCAAUGACAUUUACAUUUACAUCAUGUUUCAGCUGAAAAAUAAACCUUUAUCUGGGGUACCAA